GAGGGGCCCGCGGCCUAUCAGCUUGUUGGUGGGGUAACGGCCUACCAAGGCUUUGACGGGUAGCCGGCCUGAGAGGGCGAUCGGCCACACCGGGACUGAGACACGGCCCGGACUCCUACGGGAGGCAGCGGUAGGGAAUCUUGCACAAUGGGCGAAAGCCUGAUGCAGCGAUGCCGCGUGAGGGAUGAAGGCCUUCGGGUCGUAAACCUCUUUCAGUAGGGAAGAAGCCACGGGUAACCGUGGUGACGGUACCUGCAGAAGAAGCCCCGGCUAACUACGUGCCAGCAGCCGCGGUAAAACGUAGGGGGCGAGCGUUGCCCGGAUUCACUGGGCGUAAAGCGCGUGUAGGCGGUUCGUUAAGUCGGAUGUGAAAUCCCACGGCUCAACCGUGGAAUUGCAUCCGAUACUGGCGAACUUGAGGACGGUAGAGGUCGGUGGAAUUCCGGGUGUACCGGUGAAAUGGGCAGAUAUCCGGAGGAACACCAGUGGCGAAGGCGGCCGACUGGGCCGAUCCUGACGCUGAGACGCGAAAGCCAGGGGAGCGAACCGGAUUAGAUACCCGGGUAGUCCUGGCUGUAAACGGUGCGGACUAGGUGU
rnacentral:rRNA from 1 species